GACGAACGCUGGCGGCGUGCUUAACACAUGCAAGUCGAACGGAAAGGCCCUGCUUUUGUGGGGUGCUCGAGUGGCGAACGGGUGAGUAACACGUGAGUAACCUGCCCUUGACGUUGGGAUAACUUCAGGAAACUGGUGCUAAUACCGGAUAGGAUCGGCUGCUGCAGGGGGGGGGUUGGAAAGUUUCGGCCGGUGGGGAUGGACUCGGGGGUGAUCAGCUUGGUGGUGGGGGAGUGGCUUACCAACGCUUUGACGGGUAGCCGGCCCGAGAGGUGGACCAGGCUCCUUAGUCCUACGGGACGCACCAGUCUCGUAUGGGGGGCAAUGGUCGGAAAUCUUGCCCAACCGGCCCACGCCUGAUGCGGAAGCCUCGCGUGCGUAAUGCCGGCCUUGUGGUUGUAAACCGCUUUAGCCUGUGACGAAGCGUUAGUGACGGUAACGGGUAAAGAAGCACCGGCUAACUACGUG
rnacentral:rRNA from 1 species